rnacentral:tRNA from 1 species
CGCCACAUGUCGAAACAGCAGACGAAGUUGGCUCAAACCCAACGGCCUUGUGCGUGGGGGUGCGAAUCCCUCUGUGGCGACCA